rnacentral:lncRNA from 1 species
UAUUGAAUGUAUUUUAUUGUAAAGCUAUAAGGAAGGAUAAUUACAAGAUAUUGUUUCUUUGAUUUGCUCAGCAAAAAUAAAAGACCACAUUUAUUGUUCAAACAUGCAGAUACUGAUCUUAACAUAAUAAAACUAAUUAGGCUAAAAACAAACAUAGAACCAGAUUUCCUCAAAGCCACUAUUUGCAAUAAAGAUAAAAUAAAAAUAAAAAUGAAACAGUGUAAAAAGCCGUAAAGCCAGUGAGUAGUUACAGAAGAGGUUUUAGACAGAAUCAGCAUCCUCACCAUUUCUGCACAAACCUGACCACUCACACCCUAACAUACCCUAAUGGGAAAAAUAUCUUACAAUUUAGACUUGUCGCUGGAUUUCACAAUGUUUUUUUUCUUAAUUUUUAAAAAAGCUACACUUGCAUGUACAUAAAACUGUACCAGAAAACAAGGCAUCACAAGCAUGUUUCCUAUAUAUAUUGUAUAUAACCAACAAUUAGGCUACAAAGUUUGACUUUCUAUAAAGACAUAAUUUAGCGGCAGCUGUUUAUUCCUGUUUUCUUCUUCUCGUUUAGAAAGCUCGCCCGACCUUUUGGGGCUAGUUACCUAGAGGGGAGCGAGUUUCACUUUCUUCAGCUUUUGGGGUAAGAAAGGAAUGAGGAACCCAAUAACUGAAUAACUCUACAUGGCACAAAGUGAGAUUGUUUCAAAAUGAACUAUUUUCUCAAUAAGCUGUCAUCUGCUUUGUUUCAGUUCCUUUAACUGAUUUUGUGAUUUUUUUAUUCAAAGUUAUGACAGUUACGUUUCCAUGUCAUAGCGUUUUGUGUGUUUCAUUGUAUUGUGAGUAUGUUAGAGUUAUGCUGUCAUUAAGCACCCAUCAUUAAGGGAAACAGGAAACGUAGAACACAGUCUGCCUUGUGGAAAUGCAGGACAUAUUUUACAAAGCCAAAAAUCCAAUGCCUCUGGUAAAAAUAGCAAAUACCAUUUAUAUGUAUAUGUUUAUAGCUGUGUUGUUUUUAUUCUAUUAAUAAAACAACGUUGACAACAACAAAAAUGUAUAUAUUUAUAAAAUUGGCUUUUUCAUGCUCUACUAAAUCUCCUCAUCAGGAACAACCAGCACCUACCUAUGUCUUUGACCAGCCCCAGUUGAUAUUUGCACCUUGAUUAACUGUGUCUUGUUUGUUCUGCUGGUAUGAUUUGACACCAUAAUGUGAUGUGAUUGGAGCUUUAACAUAAUUGAUAGACCUUGGAGGUGGGCUUCGAAUUGAACUGCCCACCCCAGUGAUGUCAUUAUAAUGGUUGGGUCCUAUAAAUGAGUGCUCAAUGUCACUCCACAUACCAUUGACUGAGCCAUUUUCAAAACACACACCUAAACGUCACACACUGGAAAGCAAAGUGAUUUCAAUUAGCACUCUAAACUCAUUCUAGGUUGCUUUAAUGAAUACUUAGGAAUCAAGAUAUAUAGACCAACAAGGGAAUCCCUUGAUAACAUUACGAGUACUGAUCUACAUUCCAUUUUCUAUUCACUAUAAUUAAUAUCCAACCAUAUUUAUGAGCACACCCAAUUCUCUGAAUCUGUAAAAUUGUCUCUUAAAAGCAAACCAGGUGGAAUUAUCAUCAUGAUGAGGAUUUGAAAAGUACUGAGCACAAAAACACAAAAGGGAUGUGAAAAAGGUGUGCCAAAUAAUAUCCCUUGUCAUCCAUGUUACGCCUAUCUGCACUGACUGCAUUCCAUGUUUCACGGACCAGUUACUGUAUAAGCCGAUCCGUUGAGGUAAAGAGUUCUACAUGCUUCAUGAAUUAAGGAAUACAAUUGAAUAAAAUGCACACACAAAGCAAUAAACCAACCAAAUCAACAUAGGCAUGCUUUGCCUCAGCAUAAAAUAGGAUGCUGCUGCAGUGGUGCUAGACACACGUGCACACUCUCUCGUACGCAUGCACGCGCACACACGCACACAGUCUUCUCCUGCCAGUAUCUGUGACAGCUCCUCUCUAGGGAUAAACUCCAGGUGAUUCCCCUUGGAGAGAGUGAGAGUUUGUGAGACUGUCAGAAGAGUCCAUAGAGCUUAGGUGGAGCCAUCUUUUUACAGUAUGCAGGCAGCACCUCUAAAGCUACAAAUACAGAAAAAACACCUGUGUGCUACAUACAAGCGUGUGCACACACACACACACACACACACACACACACACACACACACACACACACACACACACACACACACACACACACAUGCUCUCCUCAUCCCCUCUCAAAUUUCACCCUGUGUUCACAUUGAGCCUCAAAGGUUAAAGGAAAGCAAAUAGCAUUGCAUUUCAAAGGUCAGCUUCUCCACACCACCACAAAAAGCUGGGGUUAAUUGGUGCCACAUGACCUACCCCCUUCACAAAUCAUUUACUCUCACUCCAUCUCUAUCUCCAUCUCCCUCCCCAUUUGUUGUUCAAGGACCCCUCCUCCCCCUCCCCCUCCUCCCCCUCAGCCCUCUUCUCCUUCAGCCCUCUGUAUAUCAGCUAUGUCAACUCAGAAGAUGGAGCUCAGAAGGGCUUAGAGUCUAUCCCUCCGGCGCUGGAGGUCCUGAUCAGUCCAUGGGUGGGCAAGGGAGGUUACCAGGGGACUAGAGGCCCUGUCAGGGAGAACCAGGGGACUAGAGGCCCUGUCGGGGAGAACCAGGGGACUAGAGGCCCUGUCAGGGAGAACCAGGGGACUAGAGGCCCUGUCAGAGAGAACCAGGGGACUAGAGGCCCUGUCAGGAAGAACCAGGGGACUAGAGGCCCUGUCAGAGAGAAAAAAAUUGCUUGUUUGCUGUGAAGGAACACCACAGGGGAAACCAGUGACUUAAUAUCGGACCAGUGUUUGAUCUAUAAAUUAUCAAACAAGGACAUGAAAUCAAUGUUGAGAUAUACUUUGAAUGAACAGUUACUUGAGGUCCAAGAUCCUUCUGUUACUGUGUAUGGACCUUCCUGUGGAGUAGUCAUUGGGAAGAUUUGGUUGAACAUUACUUUGUGUUCAUUAGAAUGAGUGAUGAUGAAAAUUGUAUUCAUUAAUUAAUGUAAUAUAUUGUACAAUGUUGACAUAGCCCAGUAGAACUGAAAUACAGUUGAUUUCAAACAGAUUCAAAACAGAUUCAAUGCUGUCCACCGUUCCUUUCGUGCCUUAUUUGUUCAUGUAGCCUAUCCCUUUAUUAUGUGGCUUUAAAUAAAAUACACGCUUUUUCAAAGGUCACAGGGAUUGAUUGUCACCAUGAUAGACCUAUGACUGAGAUUUUUAAAUGAUACAUUAUUUACAAUGAUUAACCAUUUAGUCACAUUUAUAUCAUGGUAUGCAUUGAAGCACGCACAAUCAAGUCAGCCAUGGACUUGUAGAAUGUGAACUGUAAUUCAAAGCACACUAGAAAUGCAUUAAAAAAAAUGCAGUCUACGGUCAGAUACAGGAACAUAAGAUACACAUACUAGCCUGACCUUGUGACCUUAGCUUUUUGAUGUCAUGACCCUUAAAUGACCACACCUGAAUCAUGUUUUGUAUUCUAGCAAGCCAUAACAACAACAAUGUCUCUUUGAGUGUGUCCUGCGGUGGUGUUUAUGUUGUGCGAGAGCUCCAGCUGUAGUGUUAGUAGUCUGGAGGUCUUUUUCACGCUCUCUUUUUUCUCCUCAAUGCGUUUUCAUUAGUCCAAUCAUGGCUGAUGCUCAUUGCCACAGGUGAAAUCCCCAUUACUGUCAGCAGUUAUUAUUAUGAGACUCCAAAUUAACUUCCAAACCGCCAGGACACCCUGCUCGGUUUUGAGAUGUGGAAAUGAUCACUGCUAAUGAACGAUGCCUCCAGGUUCAAUUAGAGCAAUGCCUCUGCAUGGCGGGGUUAGCGGGGUUAGCGCGCUAGUGUAUAGGAGAGCUGUGAAUCCUCCCCAACUCUACAACUACUACCACUGUCACACCACAGGACCAGGACAGCCUUUACCUCACCCACAGCAGGUCUCUAACAGACGUGCUACAGUGGGGAGCUGACUUGGAACAGCAGGUGAUAAAUACCAUCAGUUUUCACAAAGAUGACUACUAAAUUGCCAAACUUAGAAACUAGAGAUUGCAAUAUAUGGGAGUUAGAGUUAUGGAGUUCGUGCACCAUGGAACGAUACACCUUAAUAAAAGCAAGCUGUUUCUUGUUGCUCUCCAACUGGAUACCUGGUGUGAAUUGAUCCUUCGGUGAGACCUCAAUCAAGGAGUUUGAGAUUUGGGUGGCAAGGGAUUGAAAAUGCACAGCAGUAGACAUUGACAUCCCCUUCAGCCAACACAUUUAACACCAGCACCAUUUUUUUUCUCAAGUGUUUUUCUUUUGUCCAAGAUCAUAGUAAAGAUGAGGAAUACAAAGUCACACAUUUGUACUGUAGCUUCACAUGUUCAGUGAUGUGUCACAGGUUAUAAAUCCUGCCAGUGUUACACUUGGUAUUGUCCACCGGUGCAUCAUGGAUAACACAACCAACCAACAAAGGUUCCACAUCACUGUGAGAUCUUAACAACAAUGACUCAAAAAGGUACAGCUCUUAUUGAAGCUCUUUACAGCCAAAGGAAAAAAAUUGAAUAAAAUGCUUAAACUCAUGUCCAUUGUAUUUACAGCUCUGUACAUUGAUAAAGACCUCUUGGCUGUGAAAAAUGUGUUGAGGACUUUAAUGUCUUAUGUUGAGCAAAGGUUGGCAAAAUGAUCAGUCAGCUGUGUCCUCUUGAGUAGGAGCAGGACUUGCCUGAUGACUCAAACUGAAUUCUUCCGCUGCUCUAUAGUUCGCUACAUACUUCAGUCUGAGACUGCCAUCAUUGAAGUUGUUUGUGGUGUCGACUAAAAUGAGGGGUGGUGUACAAAACAAAGUAAUCAGUGAUUGGAUCAUCUCUAACCAAUCAGAGUAUCAAAGCCAAUGACGAAUUUUCAAACUGCCGCUUUACCCACGUGUUCUGGCUCUGUCCCAACCCAUUGGUCUCUGGGACCAAUCAGAAUGGCUAGAAUGUUUAUUUCCUCUUCUAGAAAUCGUUGCGCAAGAUACUCGGAUCAUGACUCAUUGCGGAGAAGAAACUAACAUCCGUGGGUGUGGUGUAGCAUUUUGCCGGAGCAAGGAGUUUGGGUAGUCAGGCAAGAGAAACACCGCUCUAAUUCUAAUUAUAAACUGGGUGGUUCCAGCCCUGAAUGCUGAUUGGCUGACAGCUGUGGUAUAUGAGACCGUAUACCAUGGGUACAUUUAUUGUACUGCUCUAAUUACUUUAGUAACCAGUUUAUAAUAGCAAUAAGGCACCUCAGGGGUUUGUGGUAUAUGGCCAAUAUACCACGGCUAAUGGUUGUAUCCAGGCACUCCGCGGUGCGUCGUGCAAAUAACAGUCCUUAGCCAUGGUAUAUUGGCCAUAUCCUACAACCCCCUGUGCCUUAUUGCUUAUUAAUUUGAGGUCCCAGAGUUGAGACUGACACUCACUUCUAAAAAAAGGAAACAAAACAGAAAAACCGAAAGAACACCUAAAAUAGAUGACCUAUCACUGUGUAUUCAUGUGUCUAUUUUACAAGAACACUUUUCUACCCUCGUUGUUUUCAGUUCCAACGGAACUCCAACCGAAAUCCAUCGUCAAAAAAAAUAACUUGAACACGCAACCAUAACUAAAUAGUCUCCAAUUAAGUUAUCACAAUGUUUAAAUGAUAGUGUAGUUUACAUUCUCUCAGUAGCAUUUGCACUCGCCAAGUAUCUUCUUCGUUUGGCUUUGACUGAUUUGUACUCUUUAUUUAAUUAAUAGGAGGUUUUGUGGAUUCUAAAGCCUCAUACGGUGGGAGGUGGUUAUAAAAAGGAGGGUGGUGGUGGUGCUAUGGCACUUCUCAGACGACAUAGCAGCUAGGCACAGGGGCAGUGAGGGGGUAGGCUUGGGGGCAUGGGGUCAGGAACAGUGGGCAUACGGGUAAGGGUGAAGGUGGUGGGGUGGUGGCCACAUCAUCGCCCUCACAGGUAAAUCUCUCUCUUGGAGCCCUGGUUGGUGGGUGUGGUGGCAGAGUGGUACUCGGCUGCCUGGCUCAGGGGGAUCUCCUCGCAGCCUUUGCCGGAGUCGCUGCCCCCGGAGAAGGCACUGCUGUAAGGGGGAAGGAAGCGGAUGUUAGCCACCUUGGAGCCUCCGCUGCCACCUCCACCACUCCCACGCUCUUCUGCCAUGGGCUUGGGGCUGCCGUUAGCCAUGAGGUGGUCCUGCCCCUCACUCUCCAGGUAAGGCACGAAGGUGGAGAGCUUGGGGGCGUUCUUGGUGGAGCUCUUACGAUUGGGGGAGGGCUGUCCAGGCAUCCAGCAGGCGUCGGAGUGGCCGAACUCGGUACACUCAUGGGUGCAAUUCCCAGUCAUGGCCACAUCAGGCAGAGGCCUGAGAUCUGCAGACAAAAAGGGUAUCGGAGUUAGUAUAAGACAGCAAAUGAGGAGGACACACACUAAAGAGGAUCAGUCUUGGACAGUAGAGUUAGAUGAGCACAUGUGAUAGCAGAAAAAACAUUUAUAAUCAGUUUCAUAAAGUGAUCAUCUUAUUAUGAAGGAUAGCA